rnacentral:rRNA from 1 species
GAUGAACGCUGGCGGCGUGCCUAAUACAUGCAAGUCGAGCGAACAGAUGAGGAGCUUGCUCCUCUGACGUUAGCGGCGGACGGGUGAGUAACACGUGGAUAACCUACCUAUAAGACUGGGAUAACUUCGGGAAACCGGAGCUAAUACCGGAUAAUAUAUUGAACCGCAUGGUUCAAUAGUGAAAGACGGUUUUGCUGUCACUUAUAGAUGGAUCCGCGCCGCAUUGGCUAGUUGGUAAGGUAACGGCUUACCAAGGCAACGAUGCGUAGCCGACCUGAGAGGGUGAUCGGCCACACUGGAACUGAGACACGGUCCAGACUCCUACGGGAGGCAGCAGUAGGGAAUCUUCCGCAAUGGGCGAAAGCUUGACGGAGCAACGCCGCGUGAGUGAUGAAGGUCUUCGGAUCGUAAAACUCUGUUAUUAGGGAAGAACAAAUGUGUAAGUAACUAUGCAUGUCUUGACGGUACCUAAUCAGAAAGCCACGGCUAACUACGUG